GACGAACGCUGGCGGCGUGCCUAAUACAUGCAAGUAGAACGCUGAAGGGAGAGCUUGCUCUUCUGGAUGAGUUGCGAACGGGUGAGUAACGCGUAGGUAACCUUCCUGGUAGCGGGGGAUAACUAUUGGAAACGAUAGCUAAUACCGCAUAAGAGUAGAUGUUGCAUGACAUUUGCUUAAAAGGUGCAAUUGCAUCACUACCAGAUGGACCUGCGUUGUAUUAGCUAGUUGGUGGGGUAACGGCUCACCAAGGCGACGAUACAUAGCCGACCUGAGAGGGUGAUCGGCCACACUGGGACUGAGACACGGCCCAGACUCCUACGGGAGGCAGCAGUAGGGAAUCUUCGGCAAUGGACGGAAGUCUGACCGAGCAACGCCGCGUGAGUGAAGAAGGUUUUCGGAUCGUAAAGCUCUGUUGUAAGAGAAGAACGAGUGUGAGAGUGGAAAGUUCACACUGUGACGGUAUCUUACCAGAAAGGGACGGCUAACUACGUGCCAGCAGCCGCGGUAAUACGUAGGUCCCGAGCGUUGUCCGGAUUUAUUGGGCGUAAAGCGAGCGCAGGCGGUUAGAUAAGUCUGAAGUUAAAGGCUGUGGCUUAACCAUAGUACGCUUUGGAAACUGUUUAACUUGAGUGCAAGAGGGGAGAGUGGAAUUCCAUGUGUAGCGGUGAAAUGCGUAGAUAUAUGGAGGAACACCGGUGGCGAAAGCGGCUCUCUGGCUUGUAACUGACGCUGAGGCUCGAAAGCGUGGGGAGCAAACAGG
rnacentral:rRNA from 1 species